rnacentral:rRNA from 1 species
AUUGAACGCUGGCGGCAUGCCUUACACAUGCAAGUCGAACGGUAACGGGCCUUCGGGUGCCGACGAGUGGCGAACGGGUGAGUAAUGCAUCGGAACGUACCUUUCAGUGGGGGAUAACGUAGCGAAAGUUACGCUAAUACCGCAUAUUCUGUGAGCAGGAAAGCAGGGGAUCGCAAGACCUUGCGCUGAUUGAGCGGCCGAUGUCAGAUUAGCUAGUUGGUGAGGUAAAGGCUCACCAAGGCGACGAUCUGUAGCGGGUCUGAGAGGAUGAUCCGCCACACUGGAACUGAGACACGGUCCAGACUCCUACGGGAGGCAGCAGUGGGGAAUUUUGGACAAUGGGGGCAACCCUGAUCCAGCCAUGCCGCGUGAGUGAAGAAGGCCUUCGGUUGUAAAGCUCUUUCGGCCGGGAAGAAAUCGUAUGGGUUAAUACCUGUGCGGAUGACGGUACCGGCAUAAGAAGCACCGGCUAACUACGUGCCAGCAGCCGAC